AAAAUUUUAAUUUAAUAAAAAAUUUAAUAUUUACAAUAUUAAUAUAUAUAUAUAAAUUUUUAUAUAAAUUUUA
rnacentral:tRNA from 1 species